rnacentral:rRNA from 1 species
UACGAAGGGUGCAAACGUUGCUCGGAAUUAUUGGGCGUAAAGCGCACGUAGGCGGCUUUGCAAGUCGGAUGUGAAAUCCCUCGGCUUAACCAAGGAAGUGCAUCCGAAACUGCAGAGCUUGAGUACUUAAGAGGAUCGCGGAAUUCCCGGUGUAGAGGUGAAAUUCGUAGAUAUCAGGAGGAACACCGGUGGCGAAGGCGGGUCUCUGGGCCGAUACUGACGCUGGAGGAGCGAAAGCGUGGGGAGCGAACAGG